CCGGAUCGUUAACCCACUGAGCAAGGGCAGGGAUCGAACCCGCAACCUCAUGGUUCCCAGUCAGAUUCGUUAACCACUGCACCAUGACGGGAACUCCCCUUCUUCUUUUUUUAAGGGCCAUACUCACUGCAUAUGGUGGAAGUUCCCAGGCUAGGGGUUGAAUCAGAGCUGCAGCUUCCAGCCUACACCACAGCCAUAGCAAGGCCAGAUCUGAGCAGUCUUUGCAACCUACACCACAACUCAUGACAACACCAGAUCCUUUAACCCACUGAGCAAGGCCAGGGGUUGAACCCAGAUCCUUAUGGAUCCUAUUUGGGUUCUUAACCUGCUGAGCCAUAAGCAAACUCCCAGAAUAUAUUUCUAUUCCAAAUCUUCAUUCUGAAGAACAAGGCUUUCUUCUUGAUGCUAAUAUGAAUUCUUUGAAAAUAAUUUCCAUAAUCAAAAAGUCACAGAUUUUCAUGAAGAGACAGUUAGUUCUAAGAGCUUAAGAACUUGAAAGGCCAUAGGAUUGCUUACUUUGAAAGGUUUUCUUCUCUACCACGGAAACUGAUUACUAUCUGGCAUCCUGCAUUCAAUACACAUGUUUGUCUGUAAAAAUAAUGAAAAAUAUUGAUAAUGAUCAUCUUCCAUUAAGAACAAACUCACUUUAUUCUUGUUUAAACAUACGUAACAGAUAAAUAUGCAGCGCCUGAAUAGCACCCAUAAUAUCUUGAUAUUGUUUUUGAAGGUUUUUAUUAAAUUAUAAAGACAAAAACUGUUUUCCAGGACUCAACCAUAGUUGAAGAUCCUGGAAAUUUUCAAGAAUUUCUAGGCAUAGUAUGUAAUAUUCCCAAUGGAUAUGAAGGAUUUAGAAAAGAUAUACAAGCUUCUUUCAUUUGUGACUUUUCAAAGUUUUAACUCUGCUAUUACUUUGUGAAUAAUCAAGCAAGUCUUCAAAUUUAUUUUAGCCAGUAGUCUUUUGGAGAAGAAGCAGAACACUCUUUGCAAUCUGAAGCAAAUUCAUGUGGUCCGUGCUCAAAGAAAAACACUUUUAGAAACCUGCACUACAAAUAAUUAUUCCCUGGAGCCUGUUGGAUAGGCUACUGGAAACUUUUGCUCAUGAUCUAGCUUGGUUUUGGGGAGAAAUAAAGACAAUUCUAAAUCCUCAUCCCUUAAACAGUUCUACAGUUUUGGAGAUAACUGAGUAUUUUAUUCUCUCAGAAUCUUCUUCCAGGUCAACUGUUUCAUAUAUAUAAACAUAAAUAUACAAAUUGGCUGCCAAUUUUUCACAUAUGUAGUAUAUUAAGAUAUGAUAUACUAUACUAUAAUAUAUAUUGCAUAUAUUUUUGAAUCCAAUUUAAUUAUAUUAUACAUAGCCUGGUUCAAAAGUGUAAGAUUCUCAUACAAAAUACAUUAUAAAAUACUUGAAUUCUUAUAUUUCAUAUGUUCUGCCUAAAAUUCCUCUAUCUACCUUUUUAAUUUCAUGCCCAAGUACUCUCUGGCCAAAUUAUCUUAUAGUAAAAGGUUAUAAUUAUUAAACUAUUUAUGCAUCUUACUGACAUUUCCCCUAGCUUAUUGUGAGACUAAAUUUAAAGAACUUGUAUUUCUGUAUGAGAAUCAAAUUAAUUUUACUUUUUUUCAUUCCUUUAGGCAAGUUGAAGGAAUGGUUUUAAAGCAUAGACAUAUGGUGAUCCUAGUGAAAUACAGACUUUUAUUUUUUGGUUUGAAAAAAUAAUCUAUCUGCAGGAAAUAGCUGCUUAGUGAUAAAUAAUUUCUUGAAAGAUAGAAGACAAAGUUUCAUUAAGAGAAACUGAGGAAGACAGACUGAAACAAGUUUGAGCAAAAGAUUGGUUUAAUUAUGGAAAUGUUGGAUUUGAUGGGUUGGUACAUUUUAAUAUGUUGAUCUAUUCUAGAAAUAUUUACUGAAUGCCUAUAUUUUGUGAGAGGUUGACAUGUCAGAAUAAUUAAAAGUGAAGUAUUAUAUUAAAAUCCUUAUUAUGGCAUUGAAAAUUCAGGAAGUUGGUACAAAUUAGAAGAGACAGAAUAGUUACACUUUUCAGAUUAUUCAAAAAAGGGAAAUGUUAGAAAAAUAGAAUUUAGACUUGGUAGAGAUUACUAUUUCAACCCUCAUUAUUUACAGGUAUAGAAAGUGGAUUAGAGGUUUUUUUUGUGUGUUUGUUAAUUUGUUUUAGUUUUCCAUAUGAAUAAUCUUACUUUUUUCAUUACAUUCAAGUAAGGGGAAAAAAAAAAACCUUUAAAACAGAGAAAACCUAAUCAUGAAUUUUAAUUUUACCUGCUGUAUUAGUUUUUUGUUGCUGCAGCAGCAAAUUACCAAAAAUGUAGUGACUAUAAACAACAUUACUGUCUUAUAAUUUUGAAAGUCAGAAAUCUUAAAGUCAAGAUUUCUGCAGUACUGUGUUUCUUCUCUAGGAAAUAAGGAUAGGUCCAUUUCCUUGUCUUUUCUAGUUCAAGAAAUGGUCCACGUUUUCUUAGCUCCUAGCCCAAGAUUUCAUAUUCACAGCCAGAAGGAUAGCAUCUUCCAUCCUUCUCUCUGCCUCUGAGUGUCCUGUUCCCUUUCGUAUGACUCUUGUGCUCAUCUUGGACCCAUCAGGAUCAUCAGCAAUAUUCUCCACAUCUCAAGAUACUUACUUUAUCUUAUUUAUUCAGUCCCUUUGCCAUAGAAGGUAAUGCAUUCAACAAAGAUUCCGGGAUUUAGGAUGUGGAUGUCUUUGGUUGGAAUGUUACUCAUUCCAUCACACCUGCAAUAAAUAGUUAUCAUGCUAUAUAGUUAACAACUGUGUAUUCAAAGCAUAUUGAUUGCUCAAUUUUUAAUCAAAGAUUGGAUUGAUCUAAUCAGAUCAGAGAAAGAGCAGCUUUUUUAAAUAUAUGAUAAUAAAUAUUUAUGAGUCUAUUAAGUAUAGCAAUUCAUUUAUUAUUUAUUGGCUCUUGUUCAGAAAUUCCUCUAAAUUAUUUUUGCAUUGAUUCAUCUGAGCUAAUUCAUGCAUAGCUAUUGAACAAUCGUUAGAUCUGGUAAAGAGUGCUUAUUGUUGCAAAGAAGAAAGAUACAAUCUAGGGCCAUUCCCCAGGUGUCUCUUGGCUAGAGGAAAGAGCUCAAGAAGAGUUUCCACCAUUUUUUACUUUUAAAUAGUGACGAGAGUAUAAUCAUGUUUGAUCAUAGAUAACAGAAAGCUGCCUAUGGGGGGUUAUUCAAUUGAAACUAAAUAUUAAAUGUCAAAGUUCCCAUGAGAAGAUGAAUGAUGCUUCUCACUUUUGCAUAAUACCUGUGUUACAACUAGGAAGAUGAUCUUCCUUUCCUCCUUAGACUACAAACCAGAGUCUCUAUAGAAGUUCCUACAUGAUCCAGCCAAUCUUUCCUCUCAUCUCUCUCCAUUCUACCCCAUCUUGCUCUUUUCUGGCCAGGCUGGCCUCCUUGGUACCCAUUGGUACUUUCAGCCAAGCUCCAGCUUCCACAUCUGUGCUCCAGAUAUAUCCUCUCCUGUCAGGCUCACCUAUUAGACACUUGCGUGACUCUUGUGUUCUCCAAGUCACUUUUCAAGUACUGCACUAUGGGGUGUGCAUUCCUUUGUUGCUCUGGCUAAAAUAGCAAUGCCCAACCUCACAGUUCCUCUGUCCUUGGCCAUAACUUCAUUACUUUUUGAGUAAUAUAUGUAUCCAUCCAUGCAUCUACCAGUUGAUUUAUUUAUUGUCCAUCUGACUGUUUUAUUCAUUGUAAAAAUUCUAUUGCCUAGAUAAAUGCUCCAUUAAUCAUUGAAUUUAGUUAUGUCUUUUUGUCUAGCCUUUAUAUUAACACUGAUAUUGUUUAAAUGCCUUAAAAUAUUAGCACAUCCAAUUCUCUAAACAAUCCUCUGAGGUAGACACUCUUGGUUUCUCCAUUUCAUCAGUGAGAAAAUGAGUGAAGUGUCAUUAAAAAUGAUUUCCUGUAAGGGCUCUUUGGUUUAAAAGUGUAUCUCGAUUUGCUUCUGUUGCUAUUUAUAUAAUGUUUGUUAUUACAGAAAAGUUUUUCAAAGAGUUUUUCUAUAUGUUUCUAAAGUCUUUUCCUUUGCUUUUAUAAAGGUUUUGGGAUGGUGUCAUCUUUAAAACUCUCCAGUGGUAAACCUUGGGAUGUUGGGCAUUUGACCCAUUAAUUCUAAUUUGGAAUUAAAUAGAUUACUUUGAAAAGUUGGACUUGUCUUCUGUAACAUUAUACUUCUUUUUAAUUAGAGGUCAUCGAUCAAGUAUCUUUUGUAAGGGGAGGAGCCUCACUGUUGGCUAAUAGAGGGAUUUCUCUUAAUUUUUAUUCAGUUGCUGAUUCUAUUUUAAUUGUACUCCCAGCUGAUUGUUUUCUGUCACAAUUCAAUCUUAUAAAUUGCUUGAAAACAAAGUAACAACUGUUUUAAACAGAAUUUUACCAGAAAUUAGUGUCAUGAGAUUUUCCAAUUAUCAUGACUGUGAUAUUUGGCAGUUAAAAAUAGCUUGUGUCUUUCUCUUUCACAGGGCAGUAUUUUUUAAAAAAAGCAAAAUAAAAGCAACCAAAAAACAAAAAAGCCAACUGGUUGCGCUUAAUUGUGUCCUUUAAUGAUGCUUUAAUAACUACUUUUGCUUUUACACUUUGCAUCAAGGAUUAGAAAUGUGAAUGUCUAGAGAUUCAAAAAGGUGGUUUAAAUACAUGAGUCACUUCAUAAAUGCAGUAGAAAUUGGUGAGAUUUGUGGAAAAAAUGUAGAAUGACAGCCAUACCUCAACUCUGGCAAAUUACUGGAAUAUGGAGAUAAGAUCAAGAUUAUUAGAUCUUCUCUGUUUUUUCAAAUUAAAGUUGAAAUCUGGAUUUUGAUGAGAAAUUAUAAAUCUAACAGAUAUCUCUAUCAAAUGCUGAUUCAUAUGAGUGCUAUCUAAAUUGAAUUCAUUCAAUUAAAAAUAAAAAUCAUUCUAUAGAGUGAAAUUAUUUUUAAAUGUAUAAUUUCCCUCAUAUAUAAUAAUACAUGUUUUACUUAGGCUUAUUAUAUUUACAGCUCUUGAUUUUAGAUGAAUCAAGUGUGACAAAGAAAAAAAUAAGUAUUUUGGAAUAUUCUUCUAAAGUAGGAAUUGUUAUGAAUUCCAUCCCUUUUUGCAAUAAAUAUUUCAAAACUAAUUGAGGUCUUUUCUCAAUGUUUACAAAACAUCUUUUAAUGCUUAAUACUGCACCUAAAGUGAAGGAUUAAGUCCCAGUUACAUAGAGUCAACAUUAGAUGCAUCGAUUUAUAUUUAUAUAGUUCAAAAUAUAUCAUAAGCUGUGACUUUAAAUCAAGGAAUUCCAUUAUGUAAAAGAUUCUUAGUUUUUUUUCUGUGAACCACUUCAGAAGUUUAAGGAGGAAUAAGAUAUUUCUAUAGCCUCAAGAUAUUAAUUAGGUGUUCCCGUUGUGCUUCAGUGGGUUAAGAACCCAGCUAGUAUCCAUGAGGAUGCAGAUUUGGUCUCUGGCCUUGCUCAGUGGGUUAAGGAUCUGGCGUUGCCAUGAGCUAUACCAUGAGGUAUAGGUCUCAGAAGCAGCUUGGAUCUGGUGUUGCUGUGGCUUAGGCCGGCAGCUGCAGUUCCAAUUCCACCCCUGGCCUAGGAACGUCCAUAUGUUGCAGGUGUGGCU
rnacentral:lncRNA from 1 species